rnacentral:rRNA from 1 species
CCUACGGGGGGCUGCAGUGAGGAAUAUUGGUCAAUGGACGAGAGUCUGAACCAGCCAAGUCGCGUGAAGGAUGACUGCCCUAUGGGUUGUAAACUUCUUUUAUCUGGGAAUAAAAUGUUCCACGUGUGGGAUUUUGUAUGUACCAUAUGAAUAAGGAUCGGCUAACUCCGUGCCAGCAGCCGCGGUAAUACGGAGGAUCCGAGCGUUAUCCGGAUUUAUUGGGUUUAAAGGGAGCGUAGGUGGAUUGUUAAGUCAGUUGUGAAAGUUUGCGGCUCAACCGUAAAAGUGUAGUUGAAACUGGCAGUCUUGAGUAGAGUAGAGGUGGGCGGAAUUCGUGGUGUAGCGGUGAAAUGCUUAGAUAUCACGAAGAACUCCGAUUGCGAAGGCAGUUCACUGGACUGCAACUGACACUGAGGCUCGAAAGUGUGGGUAUCAAACAGGAUUAGAUACCCGUGUAGUC